UGCCAGCCGCCGCGGUAAUACGGAGGGGGUUAGCGUUGUUCGGAAUUACUGGGCGUAAAGCGUACGUAGGCGGAUUAAUAAGUUAGAGGUGAAAUCCCAGGGCUCAACCCUGGAACUGCCUUUAUAACUGUUAGUCUUGAGAUCGAGAGGGGUGAGUGGAAUUCCAAGUGUAGAGGUGAAAUCCGUAGAUAUCAGGAGGAAUACCAGAGGCGAAGGCGGCUAACUGGCAGUACAUUGACGCUGAGAUGCGAAAGCGUGGGGAGCAAACAGGAUUAGAUA
rnacentral:rRNA from 1 species